CGUUGACGUUAUUAUAAUACAACAAGUACAAUCAACAAUAAUAGUACUAAUUAUCUUAGGCCACGGUCAAACGUCGAACGUUUCAUGUGCCGAACCUAAUGCAAAUGAAGUAGUGAAACAAAGAACUUAGCUCAUUAACAUUAUAUAGGUUCGGCAUGCACAUGAAAAGUUCGACGUUUGACCCUGGCCUUAAAUUCUCUCCCAAGUGGCUUUUGAGAGCCAGGUUGAUUGUUUGAUUUAUUGACAUUUUUAUUUAAAAUACAACAGUUUAACACUGGUAAUAGGCAGAGUGAUUAUAACUAGAGAAUACUUAUCAGGUUGAUUGUUUGAUUUAUUGACACCAUUAUUUAAACUGAACACGAG